CCAAUAGCGUAUAUUAAAGUUGUUGCAGUUAAAAAGCUCGUAGUUGAAUUUCGGGAUCAAGUCGUCGGUCGUGCCUCGGUACGCACUGGUGACAUUGGUUUCUCCCUUCUGAAGAACCUUGAUGUCAUUAAUUUGGUGUCUUGGGGAAUCAGGACUGUUACUUUGAAAAAAUUAGAGUGUUUAAAGCAGGCUCACGCUUGAAUACAUUAGCAUGGAAUAAUGAAAUAGGACGUUUGAUUCUAUUUUGUUGGUUUCUAGGAUCGACGUAAUGAUUAAUAGGGACAGUUGGGGGCAUUAGUAUUCAAUUGUCAGAGGUGAAAUUCUUGGAUUUAUUGAAGACUAACUACUGCGAAAGCAUUUGCCAAGGAUGUUUUCAUUAAUCAAGAACGAAAGUUAGGGGAUCGAAGACGAUCAGAUACCGUCGUAGUCUUAACCAUAAACUAUGCCGACUAGGGAUCGGAUGAUGUUAAUUUUUUAAUGACUCAUUCGGCGCCUUACG
rnacentral:misc_RNA from 1 species